GGGCGGGGCCUCGGGCCUGGCAGGCACAAACGGGGCGGGUUCUCGGGGCUUCUGCUCAAACACAGUUGCUCAGAGACCCUUCCAUCACCCUCCCGGCAAACAGCACAACCAUCCACCUCCAGACCCUAAGGAGCAGCCUUCACUGGGUUAUGUUCUGUUGGCUCGCGUGGGCUUCCUUCUAGCCCCUGUGUCUGGAUCUGCCCUCCUGGUACACACAUGGAAUGUUGCGGCUCUGGAUCUUGGAAAGGACAAUUCCGACGUUUUACUCUGCCGACCAGUUUCUUCGUUUUCAUAACUCUACUUGAAGAACACGUGAUGUUUGCCAGUGUCUGACAUUACGGACCUCACAGCUUACUGAAUCUGAAAACAGGAGAUAGAGAUGGAAAGACUAUGGAAAUGAUGUCAAACAAAAAGCAAACUGAAGCAAAUUUUUAAUUCGAGUUCAAAAUGAGACGUAAAGCAGCAGAGACAACUCGCAGCAUCAACAACACAUUUGGCCCAGGAUGUACGGUGCAGGGGGGUACAAGAAGUAUUGCAAAGAAGACGAGAGCCUUGAGGAUGAGAGUGUAGCGGCCAGCUAUUGGAAGUUGACAACGACCAACUGAGAGCGAUCAUUAAAGCUGAUCUUCUUACAACUACAUGAGAAGUUGCCAGAAGAACUCAACAUCCACUAUUUUACCGUCCCUUUGGCAUUUGAAGCAAAUUCAAAGGGUGAAAAAGCUCGAUAAGUGGGUGCCUCAUGAGUUGACUGAAAGUAAAAAAUAUCACCGUUUGGUGAUGUUGUCUUUUCUUAUUCCAUACAACAACAAUGAACCGUUUCUUGAUCAGAUUGUGACAUGCGAUGAAAAGUAGAUUUUAUACAACAACCAGUGAUGGUCCAUUGUAUACAAUGGUCAUGGUCACUGUGUGGUGAUCUGCUGCCAGUCUGAUCCACUACAGCUUUCUGAAUACUGGUGAAAUCACUACAUCUGAGAAGUCUGCUCAGCAAAUCAAUGAGACGCACGGAAAACUGCAAUGCGUGCAGCUGUCAUCGGUCAACAGACAGGGACCAAUUCUUCUCCACAACAAUGCCCGACUGCACAUCAUACAACCAAUGCUUCAAAAGUUGAACCAAUUGGGCUACAAAGUUUUGCCUCACCCACCAUAUUCACCUGACCUCUCGCCAACCGACUAUCAUUUCUUCAAGCAUCUCAACAACUUUUUGCUUCCACAACCAGCAGUGUGCAGAAAAUGCUUUCAAGAGUUCGCUGAAUCCCAAAGCAUAGAUCUUUAUGCUGCAGGAAUAAACAAACUUAUUUCUCAUUGGCAAAAAUGUGUUGAAUGUAAUUGUUCCUACUUUAAUUAAUAAAGAUGUGUCUGAGCCUAGUUAUGAGGAUCUAAAA